AUGAACGCUAGCUACAGGCUUAACACAUGCAAGUCGAGGGGAAACGAUAUUGGAAGCUUGCUUCCGAUAGGCGUCGACCGGCGCACGGGUGAGUAACGCGUAUCCAACCUGCCCAUCACUUGGGGAUAACCUUGCGAAAGUAAGACUAAUACCCAAUGACGUCUCUAGAAGACAUCUGAAAGAGAUUAAAGAUUUAUCGGUGAUGGAUGGGGAUGCGUCUGAUUAGCUUGUUGGCGGGGUAACGGCCCACCAAGGCGACGAUCAGUAGGGGUUCUGAGAGGAAGGUCCCCCACAUUGGAACUGAGACACGGUCCAAACUCCUACGGGAGGCAGCAGUGAGGAAUAUUGGUCAAUGGGCGAGAGCCUGAACCAGCCAAGUAGCGUGCAGGAAGACGGCCCUAUGGGUUGUAAACUGCUUUUAUAAGGGAAUAAAGUGAGUCUCGUGAGACUUUUUGCAUGUACCUUAUGAAUAAGGACCGGCUAAUUCCGUGCCAGCAGCCGCGGUAAUACGGAAGGUCCGGGCGUUAUCCGGAUUUAUUGGGUUUAAAGGGAGCGUAGGCCGGAGAUUAAGCGUGUUGUGAAAUGUAGACGCUCAACGUCUGCACUGCAGCGCGAACUGGUUUCCUUGAGUACGCACAAAGUGGGCGGAAUUCGUGGUGUAGCGGUGAAAUGCUUAGAUAUCACGAAGAACUCCGAUUGCGAAGGCAGCUCACUGGAGCGCAACUGACGCUGAAGCUCGAAAGUGCGGGUAUCGAACAGGAUUAGAUACCCUGGUAGUCCGCACGGUAAACGAUGGAUGCCCGCUGUUGGUCUGAAUAGGUCAGCGGCCAAGCGAAAGCAUUAAGCAUCCCACCUGGGGAGUACGCCGGCAACGGUGAAACUCAAAGGAAUUGACGGGGGCCCGCACAAGCGGUGGAGCAUGUGGUUUAAUUCGAAGCAACGCGAAGAACCUUACCAGGUCUUGACAUCGAUCUAAAGGCUCCAGAGAUGGAGAGAUAGCUAUAGAGAAGACAGGUGGUGCAUGGUUGUCGUCAGCUCGUGCCGUGAGGUGUCGGCUUAAGUGCCAUAACGAGCGCAACCCCUCUCCUUAGUUGCCAUCAGGUGAAGCUGGGCACUCUGGGGACACUGCCACCGUAAGGUGUGAGGAAGGUGGGGAUGACGUCAAAUCAGCACGGCCCUUACGUCCGGGGCUACACACGUGUUACAAUGGCAGGUACAGAGAGACGGUUGUACGCAAGUACGAUCAAAUCCUUAAAGCCUGUCUCAGUUCGGACUGGGGUCUGCAACCCGACCCCACGAAGCUGGAUUCGCUAGUAAUCGCGCAUCAGCCAUGGCGCGGUGAAUACGUUCCCGGGCCUUGUACACACCGCCCGUCACACCAUGAGAGUCGGUAACACCCGAAGCCGGUGGCCUAACCGCAAGGAAGGAGCUGUCUAAGGUGGGACUGAUGAUUGGGGUG
rnacentral:rRNA from 1 species